GCUGUCUCCGCCGUCCCCGCCGCCUUCCAGGCCGUCUUCGCCGCCGUCCCCGCUCUCUUCGCCGCUGUCCCCGCCAUCCCGGCCGUCCUCGCCACCUUCUCCGCCUUCUCCAGAGUCCUCACCGCCUUCUUCUCCGCGCCCAUGGCCCGCGCCGCCCCCCGCGUCCCCCGGCUCCUGCGGGCCGCGCUGCUGCUGCUGCUCCUGGUCGCCGCCGGCCGCCAAGCAGCAGGUGGGACCCGCGCCCUGCGACGGGGCGGGCGGGCUCCGGGGCGCCCCGCGGGGACAGCGCCGCUGACCGGUCCUUUCCCCGCAGGGGCGCCCGUGGUCGCCGAGCUGCGCUGCCAGUGCCUGCAGACCGUGCAGGGCAUUCACCUCAAGAACAUCCAGAGUGUGAAGGUGACGCCCCCGGGCCCCCACUGCGCCCAGACCGAAGUCGUAGCCCAGCUCAAGAACGGGCAGGAGGCUUGUCUCAACCCCGCGGCCCCCAUGGUCAAGAGGAUCAUUGAGAAGAUGCUGGACAGGUGAGCGCGGGUUUGGUCUGCACCGGGACGGCCUGGCACAGAUCUGGCCUCUGCCCCGGGCCUAUCAGUGCGUGUGUUUUAGGGAAACCCAGGGGUGAGCUGAAGGACUGACAGGCCUUAGUUACUUCGUGGUGAAAUUUGCCGUUAAGGUCAUGGACUAGCUGGUGCCAGAGCGCGUUCGAGCGUCCUCCUCCCCCCGACCCCCCACACCCUGUUCGGAUGAGGGAGGGCGAAUGCGUGUCCGGGAAAAUGAAGGGGAGCUGGCUGUUGGGGGCUCAUUCCCUCCUGGGCCUUCAGACCUGAGAACUGGAAACUCUGGUUUGGGGCAAGUUGGGGCUUCAGGUCUUCUUGAAGAGCAAGUUAUUGGGAUGAGACCCCUGCAGCUCUAGGCGAGGACUCUGCCACAUAGUUGUAUUUUGAACCUCCGCAGAACAGAGGAGGUAAAGGCAGCUGUUUCAUUGGGUGCUGGAGGGCUUCAGUGAGGUCAAGCGUGUAAAUUUGAACCUGGAACAGACAAUCACAGAGCAGAAUGUUUCAGCUCCUUCAAGCCUGAAAUCUAGUUGCAGCCACAGGCCCCUUUCCCUCAGUUCAAAGCAUUCAGCAGCCCAGGUUUCUGGCUACACCGGGAGUGGGUACAGCCAGGGGUGCCCUGAGUGGAGGGCUCGCCAGGAGUGUGCGCGCAGCCCCGGCAGAGCCUCAGCGGCCAGUGCGGGGAAGAGCGGCCUUCCUGAGAUCUGCAACAGGAGCCUUUUCUCUCCCUAGGAGGAGC